AGCACAGCGCCUGGUUGAUGUUCUGGAAAAGGCGGAAACCAUGAAGAAAAACACCCACACCCACGCCCACAAAAGCUUGCUUCUCCCCAAGUGGACAUCUGGAUGUGUUUACACUCGGCUUGGGCUCUUGUAGCACGCAGCUCACCGGCGUGACGACCAUCUCCAGCAGAAGCGGCGCGAAGAGCAGCGUGAGCAGCCAGAAGAUGUGGUCGCCCUUCACCCACGUCACCCGCCACACGCCCGCCAGCGACACCAAGACAAAGAGCGCCCUGGUCGCAAUGGCGCACGUCAACUUCAACACGCUCAGCAUCAUCUUUUGCCUCCCCGCCUCCUCCAGCCGCUACGCUCCGCACUCCCCACCGAUCAACUCGACAUAUGCGCGAUGAAAUUUGCGGCGCUCGCACCAACAUCGACACC